GAUGAACGCUGGCGGCGUGCCUAAUACAUGCAAGUCGAGCGAACGGACGAGAAGCUUGCUUCUCUGAUGUUAGCGGCGGACGGGUGAGUAACACGUGGAUAACCUACCUAUAAGACUGGGAUAACUUCGGGAAACCGGAGCUAAUACCGGAUAAUAUUUUGAACCGCAUGGUUCAAAAGUGAAAGACGGUCUUGCUGUCACUUAUAGAUGGAUCCGCGCUGCAUUAGCUAGUUGGUAAGGUAACGGCUUACCAAGGCAACGAUGCAUAGCCGACCUGAGAGGGUGAUCGGCCACACUGGAACUGAGACACGGUCCAGACUCCUACGGGAGGCAGCAGUAGGGAAUCUUCCGCAAGGGGCGAAAGCCUGACGGAGCAACGCCGCGGGAGUGAUGAAGGUCUUCGGAUCGUAAAACUCUGUUAUUAGGGAAGAACAUAUGUGUAAGUAACUGUGCACAUCUGGACGGUACCUAAUCAGAAAGCCAGGGCUAACUACGU
rnacentral:rRNA from 1 species